CUUCAUCGCCCUGAGGCUUAAGGUACUGAUUCUCUUCAAGCUGAAUGCCAUGAUUUUCCCCCUAGAGUAGCCAUGGGCAGCAAACGUGGAUUCAUACAGCCAUCCAAGAAAGUUCCCGAUGGAGAAGUGAAUUUAGAUCCAUCCUCGAAAAAGAGAAAGGCACAAGGAAAAAGGGCACUUACCAGAACUUGAGCUCACAAGCCGAUGAAGCAAGUUGCCCGUAUGGGCCACCAGAAAUGAUGUGGGGUCGGUGAGCCAAGGAGUCGAAAGAAAGAUUUCUUGGACUCUCAAGGCCUGGCAGUGGUGCUCUUUUAUUUAGAGAAUAGUACGGAAUAGCAUGGGGACAGGACCCAUGGGCAGUCAGAGCUCCUGCUGCUGCCCCGAGUUGAGGGUUAGGGCUAAAUUUAUAAGGCAUGGGUACGUGACUUAUUUUUACUGGAAAAAGAAAAGAUGAUGUAAAAAGUCAUUAAAUGAUUUCAGUGCAGAUGGGGUCUGGUUAUUGUGCGGUCAUAUAACUUUAGAUACGAAUCUGGCCAUAUAGAUCGGCAUGUAGGUGAGGAUGCCCUGGGCUUCUCUCCCUGGGGCAGCCCUAAUUCACACCAUAAAAAUCCACCAGGUCAUAUAGUUUGGCAUGUAGGCUAGGUCACCUUGGGCUUCUCUAGCUGGGGCUGCCUUAAUCCACAUCACAAGGAAGUGAGGUGUACAGAGUGGUUAUAUACCCCCAUACAGGACGUUUCACAUGUGAUUGAAAUGUCCCUCCCACAAUAGUCACAAGAUUGCCCUGUUGGCACAGCACUUGAUGGACAGAGCAGGUAGUGGGUCCGCUAUCUUGGUGGGCACAGCAGGAGGCAAGUCUAUUGUUUCCAGCUAGGCGGUCACAGGUGAGCGCAGCAAUCAGCUUCCAGCCUAAGGAAAGAUGCUUAAUCCUUAAAGAAAUGCCAAGGUUGGGAGGGGGAGGGAAGUUGCACCUUUAUCUCAAGGGCCUUUGCUCUUGCCAUAGGGAAUCUCUAAAGCAGAUAUACAACGCAUGCUCAACGGCCUCGGUCAGGCCCUUUUGGAAAGACAAGUUCAGGCAGAGUUAGGUUUACACCAAAUGGCUUCCUCAUAGUCUCCAAUAUAUCCUAUUGCUUGCCAUUUUUAUUUGUCACCUGUCUCCUGCCUCUGUCCCCAGGUCCACCAGCAUGGUACCCCAAGGACUGGGUCUCUGCUCUCACCAGGGACCACACUCCCCGGGAAGCCCUGAGCCACUCUGGGCUGGACAACUGGCCAUCCUGCCUCUGGCCUGUGCUGGGCCCGCUGAGCCCUCGGGACCCAGCAGGGUCAGAGCAGGACGACCGUCAGGGGCUCACAGGCCAGGCACGGGAGACAGGCUGUUCAGGGCCCGGGCUGGGGUGGGCCAUGAGGGGGCCCAGGGCCCAGGGCUGGCUCUGCUAACCCUGAAGUUUCCGCCUGGGCUGGCAGGAAGCCACACGGGCAAGCAGGCUCUCCCCCCCGGCCUGGCCCUAGACUCCACCCGACUCACACAGACACGGACUUUAUCUCCCAGGACAGGGAGGGGCUGAGGGUGGAGAUUAGCCACCUGCUGGGGGCUCCCACCCCAGGGCGGGAACAGCUCAGGCAUCCAAGAACAGCCGGGCCCCGGAAGCACCCUCACCCUGUGCUGGGGGCUCACCUUCGUCCCCUGAGUGGGGUUUCGGGGACGAGGCCCACCAGGAGCUGUUCUAUGGCUUUCCUGUCUGUCUGCUCCCCUACCCCAGGGCCAGGGUGAGUGGGUGACAGAGGGCUGGGUCAGCCUAGGAGAGCCGGGCAGCUGGGGGACAAGGGCAGGACAGGGACAUCGUGGGCAGGGAUGGGGAAGAGGGUACACCCAGGGGCAGGAAUAGGGGCGCUGGGGCGCGGCUGGACAGACAGGCAGGCUCAGGAGACUCACCAGGCUCAGGGCAUCAGCCUUGGGUGCCGGGCUCCAUGGGGGUGGCCCCCAGCCUCGCAGAGGCUCCAUGUCUCUCCUCAGGACCCCUCAUUCCCUGGCUGCUGUCCCCUGCCCCCUGCCAGCAGGACGAGCUUUAGCACUUGGGCUUCCUGCUGCCUCGCUGGCUGAAAGAGAAAGAGAAACUGCAGCAGGAGCCAGCGAGGACAGCCUUCGGGGUGAUCUCAGGAAGUAUUCGUCUCCAGUCCCCAAGUACGUGCCGUUGGGGCCCUAGGCUGCCAGGGGAUCAGGACCCCACAGUGACAGGCAGGGAGGGCCCUGGGCUGCAGUCUGCAGUUGGCAGGACCAGCGGUCCAGAGCAGAGGUCAGGGCAGGGGGAGGGGGGCAGCAUAAGCGGCAGGGGGGAUCUCCUGCUGACCCUAGAGAGCCAGCCUGCAGCUCCUGACAGCAGGAGCCAAGAGGAACCUCCUUGGCUGUAUCUUACCUGUCUCUGUUGAAAAGGGGGGACCCUACGUCUAUGGAAAGGAGGAACCAGCGUCUAUGGAAAGGCGGGAUGCUGCUUCUACGGAAAGGGGGCCCAGCCACUUCAAGGAAACCCCGCCUCCCAGCAGUGCAUUCUGGGCGUGUCCACCCUCUGCCUGGGGCUGGGUCAGGCUGGUUUCCACCUGCACAGCCCUGCGCACGUCUCUGCAGAAGGGGACCCUGGGAGGAGACCCUGGGCGCUGGGGAAGGAACAGGGCAGGAGUGAAGUCCGAGGGCUGGGUGGAGGCUGACCACUGCCCUAUCGGCAAAGCUUCGCAGCGCCCAGAGGCAGCGUCCACCCUGGCCACCAUCACCCGGGACGACCAGCCCAGCCCCACAGACCCUGGUGCUCUGAGGUAGGGUGGGGGUUUGCUGGGACCAGGGGCUUGGGAGCCCCCAUGAGACCCAGCAGCACAGGGUCCCAUCCCCACACCCAGGGGCCUUUUAGAGGGUGCCCCCACCCCGCUCCCCCACGUGCACUCACACCCCCUGCCCCCCGCACUGCCGGGGGGUUUCCAAUGAAGGGAAAGGGGCACCCCCUCUGCACCCUCUGCUUGGUCCCAAGAGCCCUGGGGAGUGCUUUAGAAUGCCCUGGAAACCCCAGCAGCACACGGGUGCCUCAGAGUACACUGCAGGCACCCAGGGCAGGGACAGGGCUCUGGGACCACCUCUGCUCCCUGCCAUGCCCCCAGGGACCUCCCAAGUCCUGGGAAGAUCCUUGGGGUGGGGUUGGCCAGAGAGGGAGGAUGUUCUCCCUACACCUGGUGAGGCCCCCAGGACCCUCGAUCCCGGCUCUCAACCCACCACUCCCUUCAGAUGCCUCCUUUCAUCAGAGAUCCUUUCAUCCACCCCACCCUGGGCAGGUGGGGAAACUGAGGCACAGCAAAGGGCAGGACUUACCCACAGGCAUCAGUGAGUCUCAGCUGGAAUGGGGAGUCCCAUGGCUGGCUCGGCCCCUGUACCCCUGGC
ensembl:lncRNA